ensembl:lincRNA
CCCAGACCCAGCACCGGGGCGUCAGAACAAGGCGUGUAGGGGUGGGUGUGCAGGGAGGACAUCAGGACGCUGCAGACACGGUGAGCACAGUGACGAGGUAGGAGGCACCACAGACUCUCAACAGAAGGUGAUGUGUGCCGUCCUGGAGGUGAAACUCAAGACCCAGAUGGGGGCAGGGUGGCUUUCCUUGAGGCCUCACCCAUUGGCGGGUCCCAGGUCCUCGCAGGGCGUCCCUCUGCAGUCUGUGUCCCGACCUCCUCCCUGUAAGGACACUGGUCCUCCGGGUCAGGGCCCCUGGUGACCUCACCUAGCCUUAGUCACUUCCAUCGCGCUCUGCUGUCCUGGGGUCAGACACACAGCUCAGCCCAGAGCAGCCACUCGGGGCUCAGCCAGGGCAGCCGCUGUGUGGGUACCACACACCCCCGGCCAUCUCUGCCUCAGAUCACCCACAUGAGAAGCAGAGAAGAUUCGCUGUCACUUAAGUUUCCAAAUGCCCAAAGGCCCCAAAUGAGAUUUACCAUCAGCUGCUACUUCCCCUAAUCCAGGAAACUGGUCCAGAAGGCGGCAAGGCCGCUGGUCUGAAUGUGCUGUGAGCCGCGGACAGGCCGAGCCCCAGGAAGGCGCAAGGGGGCGAGGGAAACGUCUGGGGCGGAGCCGCCUUCUUAUCGGAAAGGGGCCGGUUUCGUGAGCUCUCAGACCAGCACCGCACAGCAUGGCGGGUCUGCGCAUUCUCCUUUAUCCAGAUCAUGAGCAGAAGCUACAGCAUGAAGCACCACGGAAGGGUGACCUACGACGCCGAUGUGCUAAAGAUGUUUUGGGAGAAAAAAAUCGAGCUUCACAUGGAACAGCUGCAAAAGGAGGACAUGAGGAUCCGCAGAAGCGCCCUGGACAGGCUCCGUGACGAGUGGGCUCGGCAGCUGGAGAGGAGGAACCAGAUGCUGCAGAGCUCCCGGGAGGCGCCCCCGCAGCCAGCCCCGCCGGGCACCCCCGCCCUGCGCGCCGGGGACCAGCCAGCGGCCUGAGCGCGCUCCCCGUGGCCCGCGAGCGCCGCCCUUGCGGCAGCCCAGCCCCCCGCCCCGUGGUUUUGCGUCGCUAGCAUGAUGUACGCGCCCAAUAAAACCUCAGAUGAGUGGAUGGUUCGCGCCCAUUUCUCUUCAUAUCUGUAAAACGCACGCACACUAAAAGCGAACAUGUAACCUCCAACAAGUCAGAAGGAAAUCGCCGGACUGCGGGGACUUGGGCAGAUGUGAACACAAGUUAGUUCACCUCUGAUCAAAAUGUCUGCAAAAGCUCAGCCUAAGGACAGUCCCCAACGUGAAGCUGUGUAAAGCCGUGUGCUCCCCAAGUCCCUUCAAAGUCCUCACUCACCACCGCGUCAUCUCAGGAAGCGACGCAGCCUCUUCCUCACUUGAGUUUGGAGGCACAGUCUCUGGAGGCCGCAGAGGCCGAUAGGGCUGGGACUCAAUGUUUCAGUGUCGCCCCUGCCUGUCCCCCCAGUGGGGGCUGUGACCUCCCCAGGCCCCCGGAUGAGCAGGGGGCUUGAGCCAGCAGCAGAGGCUGGGCUGAGACAGGAGGACCGGGAGCCAACCGGAGGCCCGCCAGGGCUGCGUCCCCUCCACACGACCCUCAGUGGGAGCCUCCACGGCCCCUCGCUGGCAGGACGGGACUCCUGGAAGGGGGCUGGGGCCCGGCUGUGCGUCUCUGCAGAUCGCAUGACGGGGAGGACAGAUCUGACUCCACCUCAGGUCUUUAACCUUUGUGUUGGGGCGCCUUUGCUAUGAGUUAGCAAUGUUGGCUACGGCUUGAAAUACACAGGUCAGCCCAGUCUCAAGGCUCCGACCUUUUCAGGCAUAAUACUUUCUCAUUCAUACAGAGAUAAAAAGUGGCAGAACAGAGGAUGACAUUUUCCCCUUGGAGGUUUACAGGAACAUCGUGACCUGACCUACAUGGGCAGCUGCAAGAACAAAGGAGUCCCAUAGCAAGAAGUUCACCACAAGCAGCCAAACCCCCUCCGCUUUCAGUAUAAAAGGAUCCUGAAGUCUAAGUCGGCCGAGACACUCUUCGGGACUCUGGCCCGCCCUUGUCUCCGUCUGCUGGCUCUCUGAGUAAAGUUGCUGCUCUGUGCCACAGCUCAUCUCCCCAUUUACUGGGCUGCUGUGUAGUGAACAGUACAGCUUUGGACUCCAUAACAGCUGGGUUUGGGUUCUGUUUUGUUCUGACCCCCGAUCCAGUUGACAAGGAGGGAGGGGUUGUGGGAGCUUCUCCAGAGACUUAACCAAAGGAAAAAAAGCCAACACAAAUGGCCACGUGGCAUCCACGGUAUUUCCAGAGCUGUCCAUAGUAGACUGGACCACAAGCGAAUAUCCAGCAGAAAAGGUCCGGAACCUGACACAAACACGGGUGCUUGCCUCGCCAAAUGGCCCAGUGGAGGGGGCCCAGAGAAGGCCCGCACAACACCAACCUGCAAACACACCUUUCUGGGCCACCCUGCAAGCUGUCCAUCAGAGCUCGUGACUCAGGACAUUCCACUGAUGAGCACGCGGGGAAUGUGGUGACUAACAGCCCUAAAACUAGCUGGAGAAUAGAAGUCCGUCACUAAGACUCGAAAAGCCCCAAGCUGCUCCAGGGUAAUUUCAUCUGAUGAUGUGCUUAGAGCUCCGCGCUGUCAACACGGAUAAAGAGAGACGUCUGCUUGGACCGUCUGGGGGACGGGCGUGUUGGUCCUGAACCCCAUCCUCAGGGCCCGCCACGCUGCAGUGACCCGCUGACCUUCCUCCUCGUGGCAGAAGCCAGGGUGGCAUAGAGACAAGGCUCUUUACCAGCCGCAGCUUCUCCGUCACUGAUCUUUGUCUGGGCAAAGCUGAGCUACCCCAGAGACCGGAGGGUGCUUCAUGCUGGGC